rnacentral:rRNA from 1 species
AAUCAACGCUGGCGGCGUGCCUAACACAUGCAAGUCGAACGCGAAAGUUCCUUCGGGGAUGAGUAGAGUGGCGUCCGGGUGAGUAACGCGUGGGUAAUCUGCCUUUGGGGUGGGGGAGUAACUCAGGGAAACGUUAGGGCGUAAUACCGCAUAAUGCAGCGGCUCGACAUCGAGACAGUUGUUAAAGCAGCAAUGCGCCUGAAGAGGAGCCUGCGUCUGAUUAGCUAGUUGGUAAGGUAAUGGCUUACCAAGGCUACGAUCAGUAGCUGGUCUGAGAGGACGGGCCAGCCACAAUGGCACUGAAACACGGGCCAUACUCCUACGGGAGGCAGCAGUGGGGAA